UACUAGAGUAGCACUCGCAUAUCAAUAAGCGGAGGAAAAGAAACUAACAAGGAUUCCCCUAGUAACGGCGAGCGAAGCGGGAAGAGCUCAAAUUUGAAAUCUUCAAGGGUUUCCCUUGACGAAUUGUAGUUUAAAGAAGUGUUUUCUGUUAGAGAGGUGGUAAAAGUUCUUUGGAAUAGGACAUCAUAGAGGGUGAGAAUCCCGUAUUUGAUCACUUUCUACUAACGUUGUGAUACACUUUCAAAGAGUCGGAUUGUUUGGGAAUGCAGUCCAAAAUGGGUGGUAAAUUUCAUCUAAAGCUAAAUAUUGGCGAGAGACCGAUAGCGAACAAGUACCGUGAGGGAAAGAUGAAAAGAACUUUGAAAAGAGAGUUAAACAGUACGUGAAAUUGUCAAAAGGGAAGCGUUUGACGCCAGUGUUGUUUUUCCGAAAAUCAAUUAAAAAUUUAGUUCAUGCUAAGUUGUAUCGACCUUAUCAGGCUAUGCAUUUAGUUUUGGGCUUCUUUUUUGAUGCACUUUUCGGUUAACAAGUCAACAUCAAUUUCUUUUGCUGUAAAAGGGUAAGAGGAAGGUGGCUUUAAUUUCGGCUGAAGUGUUUAUAGCCUUUUACCUCUGCAGUCGGAGAGAUUGAGGUCUGCAGCGUAGAUCCUUCGGGGUUAGAUACAUUUGUGCUAAGUUAUAGCUUUUCAUAGACAACAUGUUGACUAUGUUAAGUCAUGUAGCUUACUCGCAAGUGCUAUUUUACCUACGCUUAGGAUGUUGAAGAUGUAGCACAUCAU
rnacentral:rRNA from 1 species